rnacentral:rRNA from 1 species
UAACAAGGUUUCCGUAGGUGAACCUGCGGAAGGAUCAUUGUCGAAUCCUGCAAAGCAGAACAACCCGUGAACACGUAAAUACAAUCGGACGUCAAUGGCCCAAACGUUUGUUAGUCCCUUUGAUGUCCUGUCGAUGUAACGUUCAAGCUUCCCUAGGGAUUAAAGAACGUUGCUUCGCAUAAUAACAAACCCCGGCACGGAAUGUGCCAAGGAUAUUAUAACUUAAGAAUGACUUGUUUGAUGUUUGCGGUGUGCUCAUGAAACAAGACGUCUUUGCAAUUACAAACGACUCUCGGCAACGGAUAUCUCGGCUCACGCAUCGAUGAAGAACGUAGCAAAAUGCGAUACUUGGUGUGAAUUGCAGAAUCCCGUGAACCAUCGAGUUUUUGAACGCAAGUUGCGCCCGAAGCCAUUUGGUUGAGGGCACGUCUGCAUGGGCGUCACGCAUCGUGUCGCCCCCUUCAAUGUCUUUCCAAGGCAUGCAAGGGGGGCGGAGAUUGGUCUCCCUUGUGCCAUACAUGGUUGGCCGAAAUACGAGUUCCCUUUGAUGGAAGCACAACUAGUGGUGGUUGAGAGACCUUCGUCUUGUGUUGUGCGUCUUUUCUCAUAUGGGUAGAUCUCUUUGAAGGCCCUAUUGUGUUAUCUUACGAUUACACUUCGACCGCGACCCCAUGUCASGCGGGAUUACCCGCUGAGUUUAAGCAUAUCA